rnacentral:lncRNA from 7 species
AGGGAAUCCAUUAUUUAUUCAUGGCGCACAGAGUCAUCCAGCUCGUACAUGGAAACAAAACUGCGCUCUCAAUCGAUUGCAGCUCGUGACAACUUUUGUGCGCUCUCAAUCGAUUGCUUUUCGUUUUUUUUUUUUUUGACACGAAGAGAUGACGGCUCCCUGGAAAAGAGGGAUGCCUUUGCCAUCAUACUACGAGGGUACGGUGCAGACGAUUGGUAGUUCUACUUUUGUGGUGCCGUGGCUUCUGUAACCUGGUGGCUGUGGCACCGUUUCCUUGCGUAACAGUAACCUGGUGGCUUGCCACCUUUGCAUUGCAUGGCCUUGUCCUAUAAGUAUCCUAUUGCUCACCCGUCACCCCCACCGAAAUACCGUAGCAAACCCCGCCGGUGGAGAUUUGCAAAGAUUUUAAAAUCGAAGACCAACUUGGGGCAAAGAUUGAUUUGCAGCCGAGGAGCUGCCAAUGACAGUACCUCCGGACUCCCCCAGCCAGGUCCCACCCAACCCAUACUGAAAAGACAGUAGAUGAAAUUGAAUGAGCUCUCUCUCUCUCUAGAUCAGCCUUUGCUUUUUCACCUCGCCAGAGUUUGGACCUGCGCGAACAGCUAGCGCAUCCAGUUGACCAGAUUCCGAACCUCACAACAACAACCUCACAACAACAACACCAGCAGCGGCAGCGACAGGCAGCAGCUCAGCGCAAGCCAAAUUGUACAACGCUUCGGAGUUUGGAUGCAUGCUGCUGUAGCUUUUUUUUUCCCGACUUUUUGCAGAGGUAUAUUCUUACUACAGCUGAGGCAAUAGCAGCAGGUGCUUGCUGUGUUAAUUUUGCCGCCAAUUCAGACGACUCUCCUUUUUUUUCUUCUUGUGUUGUUAGAUUUAGUAAACCCAUGCAUGAAUCGAUGAUGAUCACGAGCUUACGAAGAUCGAAAAUACUAGGGGAACUAGCCACCAGCUUGAGAGUGGCCUGUUUAUCUUACUCGUUGCUCAUCUAAAACGGCGCUCGAUCGGUGGAACGCCGCCGCCGAGACCACCAACGCCAAGCACUGCCGCUGCGACUAAACACGGGCUCCUGCUCCCCCGCGCAUUAUUUCCGGGAUGCAUCAUGCAUGGUGGGAUGGGACUUGGGAGUUCGCUUGGCCAAUGGGGACUCUCCACUCCACCCUUCUAAAAAAUAGCGCGCGUUCAGCUCUCAAGGACGAGAAAGAUGGGCGGGGCGGGCUGCUGAUGGCCUGGAACCGUGAUUAGUAGUAUACUCGAUCUGCAAGUAUUCUUUCUGCAGUGUCUGUGUGUGUGACGAUGAAUGCAAUAAUAGGCGGAGAACUAGGCUAGCUUGCAGAGUGUGGGCGAGCCGGCCGCCGGAGUAGCCACGGAGAGCGAGGUGAUAAAUGAAUGGGCGCGGGUCAUGUCAUGGGAUGAACGCGCGCGAGAACCGGUGCCUUGAAAGGCACCAAAAGAGCGUCGCCAGAGCGGGGGACAAGCACCGGGCUAGAUGACAGAAUGUCCCCGCAC